UCUUACAUACAUACUAGCUGCCAGGUUAAGUAGCGAAAUCUUCCAAAAGACAAUCGAUAUGGCAGUAGUUAAGAUGGCAACCGUGUUUUUGCUUGUAGUUUUCAUGGUGAUCUCUUCUUGCUCUCACCAUGCACUAGCAAUGAAAUCUGAACCCCAAGAAAAGGGAGCAAUACUGCUACACUGUGAGGGUUACAUGAGGAAACAUUUUCCCAUCCCAUUCUUGGAACGUAACCACGCAUGCUGCCUAGCAGUGAGAGGAACGAACGAUAUCCUAGCCGUUUGUAAUGAGUUUACGGCCGAGGAAUUGGAGAAAAUAAGUCUGCCUAGGUUUGCUAAGGUUACAUAUGUGUGUGGUAAUAAAUUGCCUGAAGGGAGCAACUGUGCAGGUUACACUGUUCAUUAUUGAGAUGCACAUGGGCGCUCCAAGUGAAGGUUGAUUGGACAACAUAAAUAAAAAUGAAGCGGCGAUGUGAUAUGAAAUAAAGCAGUGCCAUGAUAUGAA